CCACCCUCCAAAAAUAUCAGGAAUUAGCCGACAGUGGGGGGGAUGAGCGGGAGCGUUUUAUAUGGGAGGGUGACAGAUUAUACAGGUUGACCCAAGGUAGGAGGAGAGGCUGUAUCCCUUCGCAGAAGCGCCAACUAGUGGUACCCAGAAAGUACCGGUUGGAACUUCUCCGAAUUGGACAUGACAUUCCGUUGGCAGGGCACUUAGGGGGUAACCGCACCGCCUACAGG